GGGACCAAAGGAACAUACAGUCAAACUUAUUAGCCUCGCUACGAAUAGCCAAUGACACCGUAGGUUAAAAAACCACUCACAACAUUGCAGUAUCAAGAAGACCACUGAUGAGUGAAUAGAUAUCUAUGUGAUUUCUUGUAUUGGUCACACUCAGUGUAAGUUGUUCUCUAACAACUACCUACACUCUCACCCUAGUAUCCCUACACUGC
rnacentral:lncRNA from 1 species